GGCAGUACUUGGAAUGUGCAUAUAUUUGGUGGAGAGAUCCUUUUUUUACGGGGAAGCAAAUAGAAUAGAAAU
rnacentral:sRNA from 1 species